CCUACGGGAGGCAGCAGUGAGGAAUAUUGGUCAAUGGACGAGAGUCUGAACCAGCCAAGUAGCGUGAAGGAUGACUGCCCUAUGGGUUGUAAACUUCUUUUAUAUGGGAAUAAAAUGUUCCACGUGUGGGAUUUUGUAUGUACCAUAUGAAUAAGGAUCGGCUAACUCCGUGCCAGCAGCCGCGGUAAUACGGAGGAUGCGAGCGUUAUCCGGAUUUAUUGGGUUUAAAGGGAGCGUAGGUGGAUUGUUAAGUCAGUUGUGAAAGUUUGCGGCUCAACCGGAAAAUUGCAGUUGAAACUGGCAGUCUUGAGUACAGUAGAGGUGGGCGGAAUUCGUGGUGUAGCGGUGAAAUGCUUAGAUAUCACGAAGAACUCCGAUUGCGAAGGCAGUUCACUGGACUGCAACUGACACUGAGGCUCGAAAGUGUGGGUAUCAAACAGGAUUAGAUACCCUAGUAGUC
rnacentral:rRNA from 1 species